GAUGAACGCUAGCGGCAGGCCUAAUACAUGCAAGUCGAACGAGAUUAAGAGGCUUGCUUCUUAUGAAAGUGGCGCACGGGUGCGUAACGCGUAUGCAACCUACCUUAAUCAGGGGGAUAGCCCGAAGAAAUUCGGAUUAAGACCGCAUAAAAACACAGGAUAGCAUUAUCCAAUGUUCAAAUAUUUAUAGGAUUAAGAUGGGCAUGCGUGUCAUUAGCUAGUUGGCGGGGUAACGGCCCACCAAGGCGACGAUGACUAGGGGAUCUGAGAGGAUGACCCCCCACACUGGUACUGAGACACGGACCAGACUCCUACGGGAGGCAGCAGUAAGGAAGAUUGAUCAAUGGAGGGAACUCUGAACCAGCCAUGCCGCGUGCAGGAAGACAGCCCUCUGGGUCGUAAACUGCUUUUAGUCGGGAAUAAACCUUUCUACGUGUAGGAAGCUGAAUGUACCGAAGGAAUAAGGAUCGGCUAACUCCGUG
rnacentral:rRNA from 1 species